rnacentral:tRNA from 1 species
GCACCGGUAGCUCAAUGGAUAGAGCAACUGCCUUCUAAGCAGUAGGUUACAAGUUCGAAUCUUGUCCGGUGCA